rnacentral:lncRNA from 1 species
GAAUAUGUUAAAAAAUAUAUAUGUAUUGAAAGAUUGGUGUUGGAAAAAAAAAAAAGAAAAGAAAAGGAGGGAAACUUUGAAAAUGAGUUUGUGAAAUAGGUGCUUAUUCUUUGAGUUUCUUUGGAUUAUGUGAUGUUAAUCACUUAAAUUAUGGAAUUGGGGUUGAUUUCUCCAUUUUUAGGUAAUAAUUAUAAGCAAUUUUUGGACAAAUCCUACACAGGCGCUGCUUUUGAAAUUCUGCCCAGAAAAGUGCUAGUUUUGUCAAUGUUUUUGGUGACAGAUGUCAAUAAAUAGACAUUGGUGCUAGCAUUCAAUAUUUUGGAAUUAUAGUGCUAGUUUUGUCAAUCAUCUAAUUUUCUUGGAUUUCUAGUAUUUUAACCAAAUUAAGUGUUAAUUAUUUGGAGUUUUGGUGUUUAAAUAAUUUAUAAAGGAGUAUAUGUUGUUAGUGACUUUAAUUGGGAUUACGAGGUUGAAAAUAAAAUAUAUCAUGUUCCCAUUGGUAAAUUAAUAUUUCAAAUGGUAGGAAAAUACUCAAGGCAUCUUGGUAAGGGAAUAUGAUUUACUAGAGCGAGUGCGUAAUAUCAUACUUGAUAUUUGAAGUUGAAGCGGUGACAAAAGAUUGAAACCAUGGUCGACUAUUACUUGGUGAGUGGAUAAAACUUAUUUUUCAGAAAUAAGUCUUCUUUAAAUUUUAAAGUUAUUUAUUUUAUAAAGUUGACUUCAUAGCAUGAUUUUCAGAAUAAAAUGAAUUUUUUCAUCAAUUGCUUUUAAAGUUAAAUUCAGUUUAGUUAAAUUAUUUUAGUAACAUGUAUUAUAUUUUUAUUACAUGUUUCAGUAUAGUUAAAGUUAUUUCUAAAAAUCACUAAAAAGUACCCAGGUGAUUUUACCCGAGUUUGCACUGAUGUGAAUGUGUUUCCACAGUGUAUGACUAGUUAGUGAUUUUACUCGCUCUGCACUAUCGUGAAUGUGUUUCCAUAGUGUAUGACCAGAUUAUCAGAGGUUUUUGGGACCCACUCUCGUACACACAUAGGCUUUGAGCCGUGUACUAGGGUGAUUAGCCUUUGGGGCAACUCUGCGUACGUAUGACCAGAUUAUCAGCUAUCAGAUUAUCAGAUUUGAAUGGCUUUGCCUUAUACAUCGAGAUUACUCUGUACAUGUGUAAGGCUAUUCAUUGGAUACUCUUUAUGGUGUGAUUUUUCAGUACUUAUUUAGUUCUCAGAUUUCAGAUUAUGGAAUUUAGUUAAUUCAGUUUUCAGAAUAAAGCUUUCAGCUUCUAGUAUUGAGCAGCAGCAAUAUUUCAUAGAUUUUCAUGAAUAUCAGAUUCUUUAUAAUUGUUAUACCUUACAGAUGCUUAUCUAGAAUUUAGAACAAAGAAUUUUAUGAUGAAAUUAUGUUUAGUUUUAAAAGUGUUACCAGAUUUCAGAAUUUCUCAAAGUUUUGAUAGAGCAAGAAUUUUCAGAAUAUAUGCAUAAAAAAAAAUAUGUUUAUUUGUAAAUUAUCCACUCACAUAACUUUAAGCUCAUAUAUUUUUUCACCUUUUUCUUUAUCAGACAGAAAACAGACAAAUUGAGCAGCUUUGGAGCAUGUCGAACUACCGAAUUGAGCCACGCAUCAUAAGUUGUAUGACAUCUUUUAUCAGAUUAUACAUUGUGUUCUUUUGGGAUACACAUAGGUUAAAUCAGAAAAGUUCAUUAUGGGCUCAUUAGACAUUUGGUAUCUUUAGUACUUUUAAAGAUUAUUGGUUGUAAAGCAAGUAAAUAUUGAUUUCCUAGCAUUUUAUUUGAAUAGUUUGUAUUUUUGAGGGACUCGCAUA